GCGAGUGAUCCAGAAGUGGAAAAAGAUGGGGUCAGGGAACCUGGUGCCCCCCCCGCCGCCGCCUCAAUUUCUGCAAGAAGUAUUCCUGAACAGAAGUCAUAUUUACUAGCUCUGAGGACACUGGGCAGAAUAUCUCUCAAUGCCUUAGGAGUUCAACGUCGUCUGAGAAAAGAGAAAGCUGAAACCCGGCUGUUAGCCAAAGGCAGAUACCCCUUCAGUGAUUGCAGGUCUUCAGCCUUUCCCAGCGCCUCACACUGCCUCCUCCAGGUGUGUGCCAGAAAAGCUACGUGAACACKUUGAAUAUGCUGACCCCUGCUGACCAUAUGAAAAGGAGCUGGAUUUUAAGUGUAUUAAGGUGGUGCUAAGGAUCGAACCCAGUGCCUC